CAGAACAUAGCUUAAUAGAAGAGCAUCCCCCUUACACUGAGAAGACAUUCGUGCGAAUCGAAUUGUUCUGA
rnacentral:tRNA from 1 species